UUUACAACGCAGCGUAUAUGGACAUACAACACGAGUACAAGCGACUACAUUCUAUGUAAGGUGGACCAAGCGAAAUAUUUUACUGACACGUCUAUUUUCUUCACACGGACUUAUUUUUAUGAUGAGCAACAUCAUUGGAUAGCGAAGAACCUCGAGGCAUUAUUUUCGAAGCAGCAGAAAGAUGUCAUGCGUGUGCGCAACAAAGAAGGCACGUUUAUUUCCAAGGAGAAGAUGGUAUAUAUGAACAAGCACUCCCUCUGCGCCGUAAUACAGGUUUCGCAAGAACGAUUCGGUUGGCAACCCUACUUCGACUUGCGGCUUUGGGAUGCGCUGGUGAAGCAAGGACCUCACCCUAAAUGCGUGGAACAGUUCGCGAAGUAUGCCCCUAGAGGAAAAGUUAUAUAUGGGCCGCUGUGUAACAACAUCCUGCAUAUUAAGUGAUAUAUGCACUUUAGCUGUGGUC